ACCCGUCAAUUCAUUUAAGUUUCAGCCUUGCGACCGUACUCCCCAGGCGGAGUGCUUAAUGCGUUAGCUUCGGCACUGAGUUAUCCCAAUACCUAGCACUCAUCGUUUACGGCGUGGACUACCAGGGUAUCUAAUCCUGUUUGCUACCCACGCUUUCGCAUCUCAGCGUCAAUUACUGUCCAGCAAGCUGCCUUCGCCAUUGGUGUUCCUCCAUAUAUCUACGCAUUCCACCGCUACACAUGGAAUUCCACUUGCCCCUCCAGUAUUCUAGUUUACCAGUAUCCAAUGCAAUUUAGUGGUUGAGCCACUAGCUUUCACACCAGACUUAAUAAACCGCCUACAUGCUCUUUACGCCCAAUAAUUCCGGAUAACGCUCGGGACCUACGUAUUACCGCGGCGG
rnacentral:misc_RNA from 1 species